rnacentral:rRNA from 1 species
ACCUCCCUCUUUCUUCAUGCCUAACACAUGCAAGUCGAACGAGACCUUCGGGUCUAUUGGCGCACGGGUUCGUAACGCGUGGGAACCUGCCCUUAUGUUCGGAAUAACUCCCCGAAAGGGGUGCUAAUACCGGAUAAUGUCUUCUGACCAAAGAUUUAUCGCCUUUGGAUGGGCCCGCGUUGGAUUAGCUAGUUGGUAGGGUAAAAGCCUACCAAGGCGACGAUCCAUAGCUGGUCUGGGAGGAUGAUCAGCCACACUGGGACUGAGACCAGGCCCAGACUCCUACGGGAGGCAGGAGUGGGGAAUAUUGGACAAUGGGCGAAAGCCUGAUGCAGCAAUGCCGCGUGAGUGAUGAAUGCCUGAGGGUUGUAAAGCUCUUUUAACCGGGAUGAUAAUGACAGUACCGGGAGAAUAAGCGCCGGCUAACUCCGUG